UUAGAGUUUGAUCCUGGCUCAGGAUGAACGCUGGCGGCGUGCCUAAUACAUGCAAGUCGAACGAAACUUCUUUAUCACCGAGUGCUUGCACUCACCGAUAAAGAGUUGAGUGGCGAACGGGUGAGUAACUCGCGGGCAACCUUCCCAAAAGAGGGGGAUAACACUUGGAAACAGGUGCUAAUACCGCAUAACCGUGGUUACCGCAUGGUAACUAUGUAAAAGGUGGCUAUGCUACCGCUUUUGGAUGGGCCCGCGGCGCAUUAGCUAGUUGGUGAGGUAAAGGCUUACCAAGGCAAUGAUGCGUAACCAAACUGAGAGGUUGAUCGGCCCCAUUGGGACUGAAACCCGGCCCAAACUCCUGCGUGAGGCAGCAGUAGGGAAUCUUGCACAAUGGGCGAAAGCCUGAUGGAGCAACGCCGGGUGGGUGAAGAAGGUCUUCGGAUCGUAAAUCCUUGUUGUUAGAGAAGAAAGUGCGUGAGAGUCAUCGUUCACGUUUCGACGGUAUCUAGCCAGAAAGCCGCGGCUAACUACGUGCCAGCAGCCGCGGUAAUACGUAGGUGGCAAGCGUUAUCCGGAUCUAUUGGGGGUAAAGGGAACGCAGGCGGUCUUUUAUGUCUGAUGUGAAAGCUUUCGGCUUAGCCGGAGUAUCGCAUUGGAAACUGGGAGACUUGAGUGCAGAAGAGGAGAGUGGAACUCCAUGUGUCGCGGUGAAAUGUGUAGAUAUAUGGAAGAACACCAGUGGCGAAAGCGGCUCUCUGGUCUGUAACUGACGCUGAGGUUCGAAAGCGUGGGUAGCAAACAGGAUUAGAUACCCUGGUAGUCCACGCCGUAAACGAUGAAUGCUAAGUGUUGGAGGGUUCCCGCCCUUCAGUGCUGCAGCUAACGCAAUAAGCAUUCCGCCUGGGGAGUACGACCGCAAGGUUGAAACUCAAAGGAAUUGACGGGGGCCCGCACAAGCGGUGGAGCAUGUGGUUUAAUUCGAAGCAACGCGAAGAACCUUACCAGGUCUUGACAUCUUCUGACAAUCCUAGAGAUAGGACUUUCCCUUCGGGGACAGAAUGACAGGUGGUGCAUGGUUGUCGUCAGCUCGUGUCGUGAGAUGUUGGGUUAAGUCCCGCAACGAGCGCAACCCUUAUUGUUAGUUGCCAGCAUUAAGUUGGGCACUCUAGCAAGACUGCCGGUGACAAACCGGAGGAAGGUGGGGAUGACGUCAAAUCAGCACGGCCCUUACGUCCGGGGCGACACACGUGUUACAAUGGGUGGUACAGCGGGAAGCCAGGCGGCGACGCCGAGCGGAACCCGAAAUCCACUCUCAGUUCGGAUCGGAGUCUGCAACCCGACUCCGUGAAGCUGGAUUCGCUAGUAAUCGCGCAUCAGCCAUGGCGCGGUGAAUACGUUCCCGGGCCUUGCACUCACCGCCCGUCA
rnacentral:rRNA from 1 species